GGCAGGAAAUUUGAUACAGCCUCAGACUACGAAUCUGGGGGUCAGAGGUUCGAAUCCUUUCGGGCGCGCCA
rnacentral:tRNA from 1 species